rnacentral:rRNA from 1 species
CUUUUGAUUAUAAUUUUAGGUCUAACCUGCCCAAUGAAAUAUUAAAUGGCCGCGGUAUUUUGACCGUGCAAAGGUAGCAUAAUCAUUUGUUUUUUAAUUGAAAGCUUGUAUGAAAGGUUGAAUGAGAAAAUAGCUGUCUCUAUUUAAAUUAAUUAAAAUUUUAUUUUUAAGUUAAAAAGCUUAGUUGAUUUUUGAAGACGAGAAGACCCUAUAGAGUUUAAUAAUUUAAUAAAUUAAAGUUUUAGGGAUUAAUUUAAUUUUAUUUAUAAAAUUAUUUAAUUGGGGUGAUUGAAAAAUUUAUUAAACUUUUUUUUUAUUUUUACAUAAAUUUAUGAAUAAUUGAUCCUUAAAGUUAAGAUUAAAAGAAUAAAUUACCUUAGGGAUAACAGCGUAAUUUUUUUUUAGAGUUCAAAUUAAAAAAAAAGAUUGCGACCUCGAUGUUGGAUUAAAAUUUAUAUUUGGNNUAGAAGCUAAA